rnacentral:rRNA from 1 species
UAGAGUUUGAUCCUGGCUCAGAUUGAACGCUGGCGGCAGGCCUAACACAUGCAAGUCGAACGGUAACAGGAAGAAGCUUGCUUCUUUGCUGACGAGUGGCGGACGGGUGAGUAAUGUCUGGGAAACUGCCUGAUGGAGGGGGAUAACUACUGGAAACGGUAGCUAAUACCGCAUAACGUCGCAAGACCAAAGAGGGGGACCUUCGGGCCUCUUGCCAUCGGAUGUGCCCAGAUGGGAUUAGCUAGUAGGUGGGGUAACGGCUCACCUAGGCGACGAUCCCUAGCUGGUCUGAGAGGAUGACCAGCCACACUGGAACUGAGACACGGUCCAGACUCCUAC